AGUGAACGCUGGCGGCGUGCCUAAUACAUGCAAGUCGAACGAAGUGGCGCACGGGUGAGUAAUAUAUAGUUAACCUGCCCUACACAGAGGAACAACAGUUGGAAACGACUGCUAAUACCUCAUAGUGUAGUAUGAGACUAUAUCGUAUCAGCUAGUUGUUAAGGUAAUGGCUUAACAAGGCGAUGACGCGUAACUGGUCCGAGAGGAUGAUCAGUCACAUUGGAAGUGAGGCACGAUUCGGACUCCUACGGGAAGGGGCAGUAGGGAAUAGUGGGAAAUGGGGGAGACCCUGACACGGCAACGCCGCGUAAAGGAUGACACUUUUCGAAGAGUAGACUCCUUUUAACAGGAAAACGGUACCUGAUGAAUAAGCACCGGCUAACUCCGUGCCAGCAGCCGCGGUAAUAC
rnacentral:rRNA from 1 species